AGAGUUUGAUCAUGGCUCAGAUUGACGUUGGCGGCAGGCCUAAAACAUGCAAGUCGAACGGUAACAGCGGAAGCUUGCUUCCGGCUGACGAGUGGCGGACGGGUGAGUAACACGUAGGAAUCUACCUAGUAGUGGGGGACAACCCGGGGAAACCCGGGCUAAUACCGCAUACGCUCUACGGAGGAAAGCAGGGGAUCUUCGGACCUUGCGCUAUUGGAGGAGCCUGCGUCGGAUUAGCUAGUUGGUGGGGUAAAGGCCUACCAAGGCGACGAUCCGUAGCUGGUCUGAGAGGACGAUCAGCCACACUGGAACUGAGACACGGUCCAGACUCCUACGGGAGGCAGCAGUUAGGAAUCUUGGGCAAUGGGCGCAAGCCUGACCCAGCCAUGCCGCGUGUGUGAAGAAGGCCUUCGGGUUGUAAAGCACUUUCAGCGGUGAAGAAAAGCUCAGGGCUGAUACCCUUGAGUCUUGACGUUAACCACAGAAGAAGCACCGGCUAACUCCGUGCCAGCAGCCGCGGUAAUACGGAGGGUGCGAACGUUAAUCGGAAUCACUGGGCGUAAAGCGCGCGUAGGCGGUCUGUUAAGUGGGAUGUGAAAUCCCCGGGCUUAACCUGGGAAUUGCAUUUCAAACUGGCCGACUAGAGUACGGUAGAGGGAGGUAGAAUUUCCUGUGUAGCGGUGAAAUGCGUAGAUAUAGGAAGGAAUACCAGUGGCGAAGGCGGCCUCCUGGAUCGAUACUGACGCUGAGGCGCGAAAGCGUGGGGAGCAAACAGGAUUAGAUACCCUAGUAGUCC
rnacentral:rRNA from 1 species